rnacentral:rRNA from 1 species
GACAGAGGUGCCGAGCGUUAGGCGGAAUCACGGGGCUUAAAGCGUGUGUAGGCGGAUCCGUAAGUACCUUGUGAAAUCCCACGGCUCAACCGUGGAACUGCUUGGUAUACUGCGGGUCUUGAGCCACCUAGGGGCGAGCGGAACAAGUGGUGGAGCGGUGAAAUGCGUAGAUAUCACUUGGAACGCCAAUGGUGAAAACAGCUCGCUGGGGGUGUGCUGACGCUGAGACACGAAAGCCAGGGGAGCAAACGGG